GACGUAGGGCGCGAGCGUUGUCCGGAUUUAUUGGGCGUAAAGAGCUCGUAGGCGGUUUUGUCGCGUCUGCUGUGAAAAACCCCGAGGCUCAACCUCGGGCCUGCAGUGGGUACGGGCAGACUAGAGUGCGGUAGGGAGAUUGGAAUUCCUGGUGUAGCGGUGGAAUGCGCAGAUAUCAGGAGGAACACCAAUGGCGAAGGCAGAUCUCUGGCCGUAACUGACGCUGAGGAGCGGAAAGCAUGGGAGCGAACAGGA
rnacentral:rRNA from 1 species